CCCAUUUGCGGGGGAUACCAGGUGGAAACGACUGUGAAUACCGCAUAAUAUCUGUGGAUUAAAGGUGGCUUUCGGGCUGUCGCAGCUGGAUGAGCCUGCGUUGGAUUAGCUAGUUGGUGGGGUAAGGGCCCACCAAGGCUACGAUCCAUAGCUGAUUUGCGAGGAUGAUCAGCCACAUUGGGACUGAGACACGGCCCAAACUCCUACGGGAGGCAGCAGAGGGGACUAUGG
rnacentral:rRNA from 1 species